rnacentral:rRNA from 1 species
GAGUUUGAUCCUGGCUCAGAUUGAACGCUGGCGGCAGGCUUAACACAUGCAAGUCGAGCGGUAACAGAUCUAGCUUGCUAGAUGCUGACGAGCGGCGGACGGGUGAGUAACGCGUAGAAAAUUGCCUAGUAGUGGGGGAUAGCCCAGAGAAAUUUGGAUUAAUACCGCAUACGCUCUACGGAGGAAAGGGGGCUUCGGCUCUCGCUAUUAGAUAUGUCUGCGUGGGAUUAGCUAGUUGGUGAGGUAAGGGCUCACCAAGGCGACGAUCCCUAGCUGGUCUGAGAGGAUGAUCAGCCACACUGGGACUGAGACACGGCCCAGACUCCUACGGGAGGCAGCAGUGGGGAAUAUUGCGCAAUGGGGGAAACCCUGACGCAGCCAUGCCGCGUGAGUGACGAAGGCCUUAGGGUUGUAAAGCUCUUUCGCUAGGGAAGAUAAUGACGGUACCUAGUAAAGAAGCCCCGGCUAACUCCGUGCCAGCAGCCGCGGUAAUACGGAGGGGGCUAGCGUUGUUCGGAAUCACUGGGCGUAAAGCGCGCGUAGGCGGAUUGAUUAGUAGGGGGUGAAAUCCGGAGCUCAACUCCGGAACUGCCUUCAAUACUGUCAGUCU